CUCAUGGUGGAGCGGUAAAAGAUGGCCUCUGGCUAUCACUUACAGAUGGGCCCGCGGCGCAUUAGCUAGUUGGUAAGGUAACGGCUUACCAAGGCGACGAUGCGUAGCCGACCUGAGAGGGUGAUCGGCCACACUGGGACUGAGACACGGCCCAGACUCCUACGGGAGGCAGCAGUAGGGAAUCUUCCGCAAUGGACGAAAGUCUGACGGAGCAACGCCGCGUGAGUGAUGAAGGUUUUCGGAUCGUAAAGCUCUGUUGUUAGGGAGGAACAAGUGCCGUUUGAAUAAGGCGGCACCUUGACGGUACCUAACCAGAAAGCCACGGCUAACUACGUGCCAGCAGCCGCGGUAAUACGUAGGUGGCAAGCGUUGUCCGGAAUUAUUGGGCGUAAAGCGCGCGCAGGCGGUCUCUUAAGUCUGAUGUGAAAGCCCACGGCUCAACCGUGGAGGGUCAUUGGAAACUGGGAGACUUGAGUACAGAAGAGGAGAGUGGAAUUCCACGUGUAGCGGUGAAAUGCGUAGAUAUGUGGAGGAACACCAGUGGCGAAGGCGACUCUCUGGUCUGUAACUGACGCUGAGGCGCGA
rnacentral:rRNA from 1 species